CCAGACUCCUACGGGAGGCAGCAGUGAGGAAUAUUGGUCAAUGGCCGGAAGGCUGAACCAGCCAAGCCGCGUGAAGGACGAAGGUGCCAAGCAUUGUAAACUCCUUUUGUCAAGGGACAAAAUCAGGCUCGAGAGCCUGACCGAGGGUACUUGAAGAAAAAGCAUCGGCUAACUCCGUGCCAGCAGCCGCAGUAAUACGGAGGAUGCGAGCGUUAUCCGGAUUUAUUGGGUUUAAAGGGUGCGUAGGCGGGGUGUUAGGACAGGGGAAAAGGCCGGGGGCCCACCCCCGGCGAGCCGUUGAAACUGGCUGUCUUGAGAUGUCGAGAGGUAUGCGGAAUGCGCAGUGUAGCGGUGAAAUGCUUAGAUAUUGCGCAGAACUCCGAUUGCGAAGGCAGCAUACCGGCGCUCAACUGACGCUGAAGCACGAAGGCGUGGGUAUCGAACAGGAUUAGAUACCCCUGUA
rnacentral:rRNA from 1 species